rnacentral:rRNA from 1 species
UACGUAUGGGGCAAGCGUUAUCCGGAUUUACUGGGUGUAAAGGGAGCGUAGACGGUACGCCAAGUCUGAAGUGAAAUGCCGCAGCUUAACUGCGGAACUGCUUUGGAAACUGGCGGGCUGGAGUUGGAGAGAAGUACGCGGAAUGCGCGGUGUAGCGGUGAAAUGCUUAGAUAUCGCGCAGAACCCCGAUUGCGAAGGCAGCGUACCGGCUCCACACUGACGCUGAGGCACGAAAGCGUGGGUAUCGAACAGG